UACGUAGGGCGCAAGCGUUAUCCGGAAUUAUUGGGCGUAAAGAGCUCGUAGGCGGUUUGUCGCGUCUGCCGUGAAAGUCCGGGGCUCAACUCCGGAUCUGCGGUGGGUACGGGCAGACUGGAGUGCGGUAGGGGAGAAUGGAAUUCCUGGUGUAGCGGUGAAAUGCGCAGAUAUCAGGAGGAACACCGGUGGCGAAGGCGGGUCUCUGGGCCGAUACUGACGCUGAGGAGCGAAAGCGUGGGGAGCGAACAGG
rnacentral:rRNA from 1 species